rnacentral:rRNA from 1 species
GACGAACGCUGGCGGCGCGCCUAAUGCAUGCAAGUCGAGCGACGCAUAUUCGGUGGGUAACCACUGGGUAUGACGGAGCGGCGAACGGGUGAGUAACACGUGAGUAACCUGCCCCGAAGAUCGGGAUAGCCCGGGGAAGCUCGGAUUAAUACCGAAUAACCCUCUCUGGAUCGCAUGAUCCGAUGAGGAAAUGCCUUUGUGCUUCGGGAUGGACUCGCGGCCUAUCAGCUAGUUGGUGAGGUAACGGCUCACCAAGGCAACGACGGGUAGCUGGUCUGAGAGGACGAUCAGCCACACUGGGACUGAGACACGGCCCAGACUCCUACGGGAGGCAGCAGCAGGGAAUCUUGUCCAAUGGGCGAAAGCCUGAGACAGCGACGCCGCGUGAGGGAUGAAGGCCUUCGGGUUGUAAACCUCUUUCAGGAGGGACGAAAUUGACGGUACCUCCAGAAGAAGCCCCGGCCAACUACGUG